GGAGCUAUAGUUCAGUGGUAGAACGUGAGAUUCCAGUUAUCAACGGGUACCUCAAGGUCGUCCGUUCAAUCCGGGCUGGCUUCA